rnacentral:lncRNA from 1 species
CCAAACAACAACAACAACAACAAAAAUCCCAAACCAAACCAACAAAAAACCAAACAAGCCAGGUUGUUUUAAAGAUCAAGGGGCCAUUGAAUGGAAUCAAAGACCUUAUAAGUGCUGGGUAGUUGGGGUAAGGGGGUGCUGGUUCCUUUUGUGAGUCUGGGAAACCAUCAGAGAGCCACAAUGCAGGUGCAGUACGUACUGAGGGGGAUCCCCUACACUCUGAGUCUGUAGGGGAGUGAGGGGUAGCCUCUCCUUCCUCCUCUGACUCUCUGGAAGAGUUGUUCCCGGCAGGUAUCAAGGCACUGCAAAGGCUAUCAGGCCUUGGAGCUGAGAUAGAGCUUAAGGCACCGAAUGGAGGUGAGGAACAGGAGCUCUGGUCAGGUGACCUGCCGGGGAAAGAAUGGGGACCUGGAACACAGAACUUGCUAUGGAGGCAUGCUUUCUUUUAAAGAACAAAACUGAACAGAACAUAUGCUGUUUUAAAUUGGACUUUUAUUCAUUUAGCAAUGAUGCUGGCCGUUGCUCCACUUUCUACACAGUGACCUUUACCUUGUCCUAGCAGCUGCAAAGGAUGUUAUAUAAGACAGAAUUUUAUAAAUAAAAAGCCAUUUAACAUACUGAUGGAAAGUUAUUUUACUUAAUUUUUGCCUUUAAACGUGAUGCUUCAGUAAACAUGCACGCUAUGUGUGCUCUUAUAAGUGAACCAGCAGAGCUAAUUCCUUGAAGUGGAAUCACGGCAUAAAAACACAUUUGCAGUUCUCGAAUGUUAUCACUUCCGUGUUGACGCAACCAAAGAAGUCUUACCAAUUCACCUUUCUCUGACAAGGUUUGAGGGAUUUUAGCAAGGGCUCAGAUGAGAGCUGUGCAUAGGAUACCUCAUCUGCCCUUCCAGUUUUUUUGUUUUUUGUUUUCAAACCUGGAUAAACACAGUUCGCUUGCUUCUGUAAUGACUGAUGAAGACCUUGCGGAACGAAGGAGAAUAUUCACUGUAGUCAACUUGCUGGGUUGAGCCUCUAAAGCUGUGGGGACUGCUCUGGUAAGGAGUAUGCGUGUCAAGCGUGGUUGCUAGGUCUGUGCUUUUCCUAGCCUUUUGCUAGCAACUUCCCUAAGUAUGAGAGCGGCAGAGCAAAACCAGGAGCAUCCACAACAACCUGGGUGAGAGGCUAAACUCAAACCAUGUUGCCUACCCCUCCUCUCUCCUUCCCCUGCCAUCCAUCCCUGAACAGGUUCUACUUUAAGGGUGCCCUCACCUUUCCCCCAGUCUUGGCUUGGAUUCUAAGUAUGUGCUAUUCUCUGUCUCCCCGGCUUCCUCAGGCGGGAGCGCUCUAGGCUCCGCUGCCCCUCGGCAUUCAGCCUCCUGUGUGAUUAACCCAGAGGUUGGCCUGACAUUGACCCAGUCCCCAGAUGGAAGAGUCACCUUAUCCUUGAAGCUGUCACUCUUUAUUCGGCACUUUUAUCUUUAUCAGUGCUGUUUUCAUCUUGAAAUAUAAACGCAGGAACGCCUCAAUCUGCAUCUCAACCUAGCCCCAGGCUGAAGGGUUCCGCCAGUGUUAUCAAACACUAAGGCUUGUGCCGUGGACAAUUCAGUCAAUGGUGGCUCACAGAUAUGGCGGUAGUCCCACAGAUUACCAUGAGUUGGAAAGUUCCUACAACCCAGUGAUGUCUUAGCCACCAUAGCAUAAUAACUCCCAUGCUUGUCGUUACGUUGGUGCAGACAGACCUAUGCCAGCUUCGGAGAAUCACUGGAUCAGUCCACGUCAACCUGAACCUGAAAGCCAAAUAUCUUUCCCUCCUUUGUUAGGUUCAUGUUACCCUGAACCUGUGAGCUCAGUAGAAAUUUUCUGGUUAUCUGGAGCCGGCAGUUAUUCAUUAUAGCUCCCCACCACUGACUGACUGAGGGUUAAUUAUCAUCAAACAUCUAUCUGCCCACGAAAUAAUAUUGGAUACAUAAUAGGAAGUUUUCUCCUUUUUGCUCAAAGCAAUACCUAUAAACUGUUUAGAUGGCGGACAUUCAUGCCAGUCCGCUCCGUGUUUGCCUGGUGCCUUUCCUGGAAUCAGAGCCUCCAGAUGCUAAUUAUUCAUACUUCAUGAUUGAGGAUUUGGAGUCGGAGACUCACCUGCAAUAUUUGGAAUACCAGUGGAGAUCCAUAUCAACAUGGAAUUUAUACAGUAGCUGGUGCCAGUCACAGCUAAUGAUGGAACUUCAGUUUAAUAAAAAGACCCCCAACUGAGUAUAACCAUCUCGAAGAAAGUAUACUUAUCAAACAGCUUUCAAUCAGUUCAAGAGAGACACCUUAAUUGUGAAGAGGAAGAACUGCACAGCGGUUGUCACCAUGCCAACUUCAGAUCGAUGGCAUUGCCACUGCUCUUGGUACAUAUAGCCUUGUCUAUGUCCUUAACUGCAUCAACAUCCUUCCUGUUGGGAUGAGAUCUUUGUUUCAGCUGCUAGCGUGUGAUGAGGCUUUUAAUUCGUUACACUAUAAUACCCCUUCGUAAAAUUUAAAUGUGUAAUUAUAAAGGUCAAUGUCUUUUCCUUUAAUUAAAACUUCUAUUCCUUGUUAACAGAAAUUAGUGCUUAUGACAUUUUGUAUUUUCAAAAAUUAUUGUGUUGAAAUAAAGCUACACAAACAAAAUAAAAUAUGGCGAUUCCACUCUAAGAAGAGAUGACUGAAUAAAUGAUAAUCUGACUUCUGUGCAAUUAUGUGCAAGAAGAAUGCAUACAAUAAUCCAUCAAAGGGAAACAAAGAGAAGGAAGGUUUACUCUGGCAGGAAGAAAUUACAAUUCUAAAGGAGAAUAUGAUGGAAAAUCCUUUCUUUUAGGAGGAGGGAGUCAUCUAGCUUAUUUAAAGACCUCUGGUUUCAGUGAUGCAGUAAGGAGCACCAGGGGCGGCGACACAGGUGAGAGAGGAAGGGGAAUGUGCAAAGAAACAGGCCAAGAGGCUAAGGCUCCAGAGGGUGCCUGCUGUGGUGCUCUUUGCUCCUUUCCAGUCUGCCUCCUUUUUCUCUCUCUCCUCUCUUGCUGUCUGUAUUUGUUUAUAUAGAUAGAGACUUAGGAACAGAAAUACUGCACAGAAAAGAUGCACUUAUUUCUUAUUUUAUGAAUAUGGGUGUCUUGCCUGCCUGGGCACCACAUGUGUGUAGCAUCCUUGGAGGUCAGAAUAAGGUUUUAAAUUCCCUGGAGCUGGAGUUACAGAUGGUUGUUAGCCACCAUGUGGGCACUGGGAAGUGAGCCCUGGUCCUCUGGAAAAGUAGCCAGUGUUCUUGAUCCCUGAGCCGUUUCCUCCAGCACACACAAACUCACCUUUAGGCAUAGAAUCUCAUACUCUGAAGCAUGUGGGAUAUUUGAUCUCGUUUCCCUCACUUUAUAUAUUCAUUCGUUAAAACGAUACAUUUUUGUUAGGUUUGGGUGUGUGUCUGAUGCUAUGUGUUAGGUUUACAGUGUGUUAUUUCUAGCUAUCUACCGAUUAUACUUUAGUGUGAGAGACAGAAACUGGUCUAGUAAUCACAUCACUGCAAAUCACAGCAUUCUUGAAAGUGCUGGUAGGCAAAAUAAGAGAGCUCUCUGAAGUCCAGUGUUGGAGAAUAUAUGGGAACAUGGCUGGAAAGAGUAGAAAUUACUAAUGUCAUUGGCUAUGCUCUGCAGGGCAGAUGCUGGGCUCAGUCAAGUGUUCUCUUAGUACUCACAGCUAGACUGAGGAAGCCAAAGGACCUAUGAGCUCCUGUCCUUCCUUGCAAUAUGGUUGGCUGGUGACUGACAAAGAUUUGCAGGAAAGCAGCACUCAAGUAGCCCCAGUAGGACCAAUCAGUCAUGCCGCAGUAGGGUUUGGCAGCGUCUUCACAGAUAUUCGGUUGUGAAAGGGCCAGUCCCGAAUGCACAUUCAUUUCCAUUACAACCAUCUACCAGACUUAUCUCUCAUUAUAGAAGCAACCCCAGAUUGAACUAUCACUAUUGAAAUUAUUAGUUUCUAUAGCUCUAAUCAAGCCAUCCUCCUUUUCAGGGACUCAACCAAAGGGCACAGAAGAACAGUGUCACUGAGGUCACCUUCUCUAUAAAGACCUUGAAGAGUAGGGUAGAGGGGGUCUGACUGGCUAGAGGUUCAUAUACUUCACUUAGAAUAUCCAACAAGUACAUGGCAAGUUAGCAUCUCUCACCAACGCUGGGAAGCUUUGCCAACAUUGAUGCCUCCCUCUGGGAAGCACCCGCCAUCAGGCAAGCUCACGUCCUCAGCAGCAUCUGGUGGGAUGAGCCAUGCUGUCCUUAUAAUCCAAAGAAAGCUGAAGUCAUAGUCAACAUUAGUUUGGAGUGAUUUCCUUUCUUUUCUUUUUUGGUAAACAGGUUUGCAUUUUCAUUAUGUUUAUGAUUUAUUCACAUGCACGCACAAUAUAUACAUAUUUUCAUUGAUGUGGGUUUAUUUGUAUAGCCUAUUUUUCUUCCUCCUUUUUCUGUCUCCUCCCACUUAUCUCCUAUCCUGCAUCUUCUACUCCUAUUAGCAUCUGUGCAUCGAUUUAGUACUUGUCUGUGAGAAUACUCAAUCCAUCUGCAUAUAGUUCUGGAUGUGUAUUAACAAUACACAUAUAUAGUCCUAUGCAGAAGUUUUUGUAGAGUAUUGGUUUUGACAAACAUGAUUAUUUAAAUAUACUCUUUUCCCAUUUUUUUGUUUUGUUUUCACUACUAAAUACUUUAGAAUAAUGAGUUACCUCCUCAAGGUAACUGUUAUAAUGCUACUUUAUUUUGUAAUUUUUCCAUGAUGUAUAACCAUGACUUAGUUUUCAGUUUCCUGGAAUAUUAAACAAUGCCAUAGCUG